AUUAUUGUUGUUGCAGUGAUUUUGUUCACAUUCUUGUUUGCUGUUGUAACUGUUGGAAUAGUGAUAGUCAUUAUGAAGAAAAAAUUUAACUACGUCAGUGAUACUAGAUCAAAAACUGCUGUAUAUGAUGAUCCUGAUAUAACAUUGAAGGAAGUGAAACCACAAGCAGUUAAUGAUAACGUUAAAAUUGAAUCAACUGAUCCUGUUUCUACUGCUGAUUAUGAAGUUCCUGUCACUGCAAUUACUAAAGAGACUGUUGACAAAGCUAUGCGAUGAAGCUAAAUAAGCAUAAAAAUAAUAAACAUGCAUUAACUAAAAUAGCUACUUACUAUUAAUACUAGACUAGUCUGUUAAUGUUGUUAUGUUUGCUGCUUGUUAGUCAAAACAAAAAUUUUAAAUGAA